rnacentral:rRNA from 1 species
GACGACGCUGGCGGCGUGCCUAACACAUGCAAGUCGAACGGGUGAGAGGAGCUUGCUCCUUGAUCUAGUGGCGGACGGGCGAGUAACGCGUGAGCAACCUGCCCUUCAGUGGGGAAUAACGGCUGGAAACGGUCGCUAAUACCGCAUAACAUCUUCGAGUGGCAUCGCUUGAAGAUCAAAGAUUUAUCGCUGAAGGAUGGGCUCGCGUCCGAUUAGAUAGUUGGUGAGGUAACGGCUCACCAAGUCGACGAUCGGUAGCCGAACUGAGAGGUUGGCCGGCCACAUUGGGACUGAGACACGGCCCAGACUCCUACGGGAGGCAGCAGUGGGGAAUAUUGGGCAAUGGGCGCAAGCCUGACCCAGCAACGCCGCGUGAAGGAAGAAGGCUUUCGGGUUGUAAACUUCUUUUGUCAGGGACGAAGUAAUGACGGUACCUGACGAAUAAGCCACGGCUAACUACGUG